rnacentral:rRNA from 1 species
UCCUACGGGAGGCAGCAGUGGGGAAUAUUGGACAAUGGGGGCAACCCUGAUCCAGCCAUGCCGCGUGUGUGAAGAAGGCCCUCGGGUUGUAAAGCACUUUCAGCGAGGAAGAACGCCUAGCGGUUAAUACCCGCUAGGAAAGACAUCACUCGCAGAAGAAGCACCGGCUAACUCCGUGCCAGCAGCCGCGGUAAUACGGAGGGUGCAAGCGUUAAUCGGAAUUACUGGGCGUAAAGCGCGCGUAGGUGGCUUGAUAAGCCGGUUGUGAAAGCCCCGGGCUCAACCUGGGAACGGCAUCCGGAACUGUCAAGCUAGAGUGCAGGAGAGGAAGGUAGAAUUCCCGGUGUAGCGGUGAAAUGCGUAGAGAUCGGGAGGAAUACCAGUGGCGAAGGCGGCCUUCUGGACUGACACUGACACUGAGGUGCGAAAGCGUGGGUAGCAAACAGGACUAGAUACCCUGGUAGUCCACGCCGUAAACGAUGUCGACCCGCCGUUGGGUGCCUAGCGCACUUUGUGGCGAAGUUAACGCGAUAAGUCGACCGCCUGGGGAGUACGGCCGCAAGGUUAAAACUCAAAUGAAUUGACGG